GCUGAACCGAAAGGAAUUGAGACUAUAGAGUCGCGGAUUUCUAGAGCGACUAUGGAAAGGGGAAGCACUGAAAAGCCUCGUCUUUCGGCUUCCCAAUGGAGGAUCGCGGUGUGUGUUGCACUUUUUCCUGGGUCGAAGAAGCGGCAGCUGGAAGACAAAGGAAAUGCCAAAAAAAUCCCUUCUGGACGGCAGAGAAUCAGAAGCAGCUUUAAAAAGGAAAGCGAAUCCAGUACAUCUGGGAAACAAUGUCUUUUCCCUUUUCUCCAGAUAGCCACAAAACUCUUCCCCUUCCCCAGCCAGGAAGAGACAAGAAAAAAAAAUAGGAAAUGAGUUUUGAGCUGAUAAGCAAGUAUUGUGUGUGGAACUCAAGGAAACAUUAUAUCAAAAAAUAAAGGUGGAAUAUUUCCAGAUUCAGAAAAAGAGGAAAUAUCUAGAAGUCUGUGGGGAGGAAGCGCUCAUUCCAGACAAUGCAUUCCUCACCCUGUGAGGAAACAAACAGCUUGAACCAUCCAAGAAGAAAUCACAAAUAUUUUUGAUCUCCUUAAGAAUCUAAGACUAUCAGUGGCGGAAAAGCCCCACAGAUAUUCAUAUUGUCAGAAAAGCACAAAUUACAAAUC
ensembl:lncRNA